GUCCAUAUCAAUGAAAAAUAAAACUUAAAAAACCGCCUCCUUCAUACCCCGUACCACCAUAACUUUCAAACCCUAAAAAUUCAUCAUCUCCCACACGGGUUAGAGCUACGAUUAACCCCAUAAUUUUGGAUGAAUUGUGUACUCAAUUUCCCUUCCUUGUGCUACUUGAAUUUCGGAGGUUUAUUUUCCCUUUUUCACGAAGAGUGGAGGUUUGAACGAAGAUUGGAGGUUUAAAAUUGAAGGUGUCUAAUCAGGAGGAAGACAUGCCGAACAUGGGUAUUCAUGGUAUUCUGUUCUGUUAGGCAAAGCCUAAACUUAGGCCCUUGUUCCAUACUCCCUUGGCCGUGAUGUCAAACAGAGAGAAAAUCACUUUCCAGUACUUCAAGAAGCUGUUUGCUCAAGUUACAAACCCUCCCAUUGAUCCUAUCAUGGAGAAAAUUGUGUCAUCCAUAGAGUGCAUGAUUGGUCCUGGAGGUGAUCUCACAUAAAUGAGUGAGGAGCAGUGUCAUCGUCUCUCACUGAUGGGGCCUAUUUUAUCCAUUAAAAAGAUUGAAUUAAGAGGUUGGCGUAGCAACGUAAUUCAUAUCACUUAUCCCAAGACCCUGGGCAGGAAAGGCUUGGAGCAAACGUUGGACAGGAUCUGUGCUGAAGCUAGGGAUACAAUAAAGGUUACACGGUUUUGGUGCUUUUUGACAACUUUCGCGCCAAGUGUAGUUGCAGUGAGCUCUCUAUUGCGUGUACGACGAAGAACCCUUUGAUAAUAUCAUCAUAUCACAUUGUCUGGUUCUCCAAUGUGUGCUUCUGAUAUAGUGAUGAUGCUAUUGCUGCACUCCUUGAAAGUUCUGGAGAAUCUUUGGAUGAAUUAAGUCUUAAUAACAUCUCCAAGGUUGGCCAGAAUACCACCAUUUAUCUUGCCAGGCGUUGCAAAAAUCUCGAGUUCUUGGAUCUUUCAUGGUGUCGCCUCCUUACAGACGAGACACUAGGAUUAAUUGCAGACAGUUGCUGGUCUCUCAGGUUGCUCAAAAUUUUUGGUUACACACAGGUCGUCCAACGUGAUAAGGUGCAAAAGCAGCAUGAAGGCCAAGACAGUUGAGCUUCAUAUGAGCUACUACCAUCGAUCAUCUAUAUGUAGUAUAUACAGUAUAUCCUAGCUAGUUAGCUUUUCUAAGUUUUAGUUUUAAUUUCUUGGGUUUGAUUUAUGAUGUUGUUUUUUACUGUUGGUUAGGAUUUUGGUUAGUAAUAUUGAUGCGUGUAUGUUUAUUUGGAUUCUGGUUAGUAACGUACGUGUACGUACUAUGAAUUUUAACUACUUAAGUUAAUUUUAUUGUUAAUUGAA